rnacentral:rRNA from 1 species
AUUGAACGCUGGCGGCAGGCUUAACACAUGCAAGUCGAGCGGGGGAGGGUAGCUUGCUACCGGACCUAGCGGCGGACGGGUGAGUAAUGCUUAGGAAUCUGCCUAUUAGUGGGGGACAACAUCUCGAAAGGGAUGCUAAUACCGCAUACGUCCUACGGGAGAAAGCAGGGGAUCUUCGGACCUUGCGCUAAUAGAUGAGCCUAAGUCGGAUUAGCUAGUUGGUGGGGUAAAGGCCUACCAAGGCGACGAUCUGUAGCGGGUCUGAGAGGAUGAUCCGCCAAACUGGGACUGAGACACGGCCCCGACUCCUACGGGAGGCAGCAGGGGGGAAUGUUGGACAAUGGGGGGAACCCUGAUCUAGCCAUGCCGCGUGUGUGAAGAAGGCCUUAUGGUUGUAAAGCACUUUAAGCGAGGAGGAGGCUACUUUAGUUAAUACCUAGAGAUAGUGGACGUUACUCGCAGAAUAAGCACCGGCUAACUCUGUGCCAGCAGCCGCGGUAA